UCCCGCAACGAGCGCAACCCCUGCCUUUAGUUGCCACCAGGUUAAGCUGAGCACUCUAAAGGGACUGCCGGUGAAAAACCGGAGGAAGGUGGGGAUGACGUCAAGUCCUCAUGGCCUUUAUGUCCAGGGCUACACACGUACUACAAUGGACGGCACAAUGAGUUGCAAACCCGCGAGGGGGAGCCAAUCUCAAAAAACCGUUCUCAGUUCGGAUUGCAGUCUGCAAC
rnacentral:rRNA from 1 species